UCAAGCCGCGCAUCGGCUCAAGCCGCGCCCAUGCUUGCGGGAGACCCCUACCUUCCCCUGCCAGG
rnacentral:ribozyme from 1 species